AUUGAACGCUGGCGGCAGGCCUAACACAUGCAAGUCGAGCGGAUGAAGGGAGCUUGCUCCUGGAUUCAGCGGCGGACGGGUGAGUAAUGCCUAGGAAUCUGCCUGGUAGUGGGGGAUAACGUCCGGAAACGGGCGCUAAUACCCCAUACGUCCUGAGGUAGAAAUUGGGGGAUCUUCGGACCUAACGCCUUCAGAUGAGCCUAGGUGGGAUUAGCUAGUUGGUGGGGUAAAGGCUUACAAAGGCGACGACCCGUAACUGGUCUGAGAGGAUGAUCAGUCACACUGGAACUGAGACACGGUCCAGACUCCUACGGGAGGCAGCAGUGGGGAAUAUUGGACAAUGGGCGAAAGCCUGAUACAGCCAUGCCGCGUGUGUGAAGAAGGUCUUCGGAUUGUAAAGCACUUUAAGUUGGGAGGAAGGGCAGUAAGUUAAUACCUUGCUGUUUUGACGGUACCAACAGAAUAAGCACCGGCUAACUUCGUG
rnacentral:rRNA from 1 species